GGGGCUGUAGCUCAGGGGUUAGAGCAGUCGGCUCAUAACCGAUUGGCCGCAGGUUCAAAUCCUGCCAGCCCCACCA
rnacentral:tRNA from 1 species